UUCGCAAUGCCCGAAAGGGUGACGAAGCGACGCCGCGUGGGUGAGGAAGGCCUUCGGGUUGUAAAGCCCUGUCAGGAGUUAAGAAAUGUAAGUGCGCUAAUAUCGCAUUUAUUUGACAAAGGCUCCAAAGGAAGCCACGGCUAACUCUGUGCCAGCAGCCGCGGUAAUACAGAGGUGGCAAGCGUUGUUCGGAAUUAUUGGGCGUAAAGAGCACGUAGGUGGGUUUGUAAGUCAGAUGUGAAAGCCUUCUGUUCAACGGAAGAAUUGCAUCUGAAACUACAAGUCUUGAGUGUAGGAGGGGAGAAUGGAACUUCUGGUGGAGCGGUGAAAUGCGUAGAUAUCAGAAGGAACGCCGGCGGCGAAAGCGAUUCUCUGGCCUAUUACUGACACUCAGUGUGCGAAAGCUAGGGGAGCAAACGGGAUUAGAUACCCCGGUAGUCCUAGCCGUAAACGAUGGGCACUAAGUAGAGGGGUUUUA
rnacentral:rRNA from 1 species